GAGGCAGCGCUCUGGAGACGUCUCCACCAUGGCCUGGGCUCUGCUCCUCCUCACCCUCCUCACUCAGGGCACAGGCUCUUGGGCCCAGUCUGCCCUGAUUCAGCCUCCCUCCGUGUCCGGGUCUCCUGGACAGUCAGUCACCAUCUCCUGCACUGGAACCAGCAGUGAUGUUGGGAGUUAUGACUAUGUCUCCUGGUACCAACGGCACCCAGGCACAGUCCCCAAACCCACGAUCUACAAUGUCAAUACUCGGCCCUCAGGGGUCCCUGAUCGUUUCUCUGGCUCCAAGUCUAGCAAUACGGCCUCCAUGACCAUCUCUGGACUCCAGGCUGAGGACGAGGCUGAUUAUUAGUGCUGCUCAUAUAC